CGAAUCCGCGCGGGAGAGACCGAGCCUCAUACUGAGCUCGGCGCCGAAGGAGCAAAUCCUCCCCGGAACCUCUCAGGCACCCUGGACCGCGCGGACGAG
rnacentral:ncRNA from 1 species